ACGGGUGAGUAACGCGUGGGAAUCUACCCAUCUCUACGGAAUAACGCAUGGAAACGUGUGCUAAUACCGUAUACGUCCUUCGGGAGAAAGAUUUAUCGGAGAUGGAUGAGCCCGCGUUGGAUUAGCUAGUUGGUGGGGUAAAGGCCUACCAAGGCGACGAUCCAUAGCUGGUCUGAGAGGAUGAUCAGCCACACUGGGACUGAGACACGGCCCAGACUCCUACGGGAGGCAGCAGUGGGGAAUAUUGGACAAUGGGCGCAAGCCUGAUCCAGCCAUGCCGCGUGAGUGAUGAAGGCCCUAGGGUUGUAAAGCUCAUUCACCGGUGAAGAUAAUGACGGUAACCGGAGAAGAAGCCCCGGCUAACUUCGUGCCAGCAGCCGCGGUAAUACGAAGGGGGCUAGCGUUGUUCGGAUUUACUGGGCGUAAAGCGCACGUAGGCGGACUAUUAAGUCAGGGGUGAAAUCCCGGGGCUCAACCCCGGAACUGCCUUUGAUACUGGUAGUCUUGAGUUCGAGAGAGGUGAGUGGAAUUCCGAGUGUAGAGGUGAAAUUCGUAGA
rnacentral:rRNA from 1 species